UUUAUAAGUAAAAAUUAAAAACUAAAAAUCAGUGCCGCUUAAGAGUAAGUAAGAAGAAAUUUAUUGGUUUAUUCCUUAUGCACGUAGCCUUUCUCUUUCCGCGUGAUUUUUUGAGUUGAAAUUUCAAAGGCUAAUCGUUAUUUGCGGCGUAAAUAUUCGCUUUU